rnacentral:lncRNA from 1 species
CACAUAAUUUCCUCUGGGUCUUUGGACUUCACACAGGAUAACACUACCUCCUUGAGGACGUCCUGGCACUCCUUCGCCCCAAUUUUCAGGCCUUUCGGGAACCAAUACGAGGGCAUCCUUUUCUCGUCUGAUGCCAUGAUUCCCAGCAUCGCUGAGGCUGGAAAUUUAGUCUGAUUGAUCAUUAGAACCUCAUCUAAGGUUAUUUCUGCUUUUAGUUGACGAUUCCUUUCAUUUUGGAAUCUGUAAUGAUUACAGAAAAAACAUUAAUAUACAAAAAAAGACUUAUGGGCGUUUGCUUUAACUUCUAAUUACUAUUGUUUUACCUAGUUACUAUUAUAAGCAUACGUUAUAAUACUUCAAUAAAUUAUCUUAAUAGUUUUUUUUUUAUUAUUUUAAUGUAACGAUAAAGGCUUCAUACUUCGUUAUAAUCAAUAUUUCUAUAUAAUACCGUGCUUUGUACAAAUUCAAAUAAAGAAGGAGUCGAAUCUGCUCUCUUGAUAUGGAUGAUCAAGUUAGAAGUAUCUUUCUUCGAUUUCUUCCAUCUGGCUUUUGUCCUAUCUUUUGGAGAACAUAUCUAAAUAGUUUUCGUAUUUUGUCACAUCAAAAAUACAAGCCCUGAUUUUCACAGUCAAGUUAAGUUGUACCUGAAUUUACGAACAACGAAGAACCAAUUCCUGAAUAGUCUCACAUAGGUUACAUCUGUCCUCCCAACAGUCCCGAUUGCAAUCCCUUCUACCUGUGGGUCGCACUUGAACGAGACACCAACUGAACCUCGUGCAACACGGUGGCCGAGUUAACGCAGCGAAUCAUCUUGAUUUUCAACAAGUUGCCCAGAGACUAGGUUGAGCGCACUUGCAGUAAGUUCAGGUCCAGGCUGGAAAAGGUCAUCGCCACUGAGGGUGCUUACUUUGAGUAGAAUUCGAAGCCAGAAGCUGCACCUCUUAAAUAUUUUUUGAUUUAAUAAAUUAUUAAAGA